UCUUAACCUCCAACUCUCUUUAUAGCUUUGAAUAGCACUAGACAGAAUCAUCCACGGGAGUUUUAUUGGCAAAGAGCGUGCUACCCACAUGUUUCAGAAGUUUAUGAAAGGGACACAUCACUCCGUGGGAGGACAUGUUCCUCCCUCCAGUGGACACUGCAUCCCGCCUUGGCCACGGUUCUGCAUAUGCUCACGUUCGGACUGUUUGUAGACUUCCGCUCCAAGAUCUGUAGCUGAAUAGCCUCCCACAUCCCACAGGACAAAGUCAGUCGCUUUGUCCGUGACCCCACUUGCAAAAAGAGCUGGGCGUUGGGUGCAGCAAGGGGCGGCUGGUGCCCAGUUUCCCUCGCAGGUGUCUGCACCAGUGGAGCCCACUUCGAGUUCAAGCCUGAGGUUCUCCUUGGUCUGACCUGCCUUUUCCUGUAACAGGUUCCCGGUGAGGCACCAGUGCAGUAAUACUGACCGCAGAGGAAAGCCUCUGAGGUCCUCUCACCUGGUCCCUCCUCUUUGUCCCACCCCUGCUCUCUCAAACUGCUCCCAUACGUGGGGACAUGCACGGCAGCCAGCGGCUCCUGUUCACCUCCCUCCCCAGGGUCAGCUCUUGUAGCAGGAGCCCGCAGAGAGCAGUGGUUCAGCAAGACUGAAGUUUAUUGCUCUCAUGGAAAGACCAGAUGAGCAACCCCCCCGCCCCGACCCGGGCUGGUGGGGCAGAGACUCCGGCAGCGCCGCCCCCGGAGCUCCCUGGCUGCUCCCUGUGCCUGCUGCCUCACGGUCUGAGGGCCUGCCGGGGCACCAGCCAUCCAGGCUGCAUCUAGCCAGCUGGAAGGAUGGAGGGCAACGGAGGGCACCUCCUUCCUCCCCUCCUUAGGCUCAGGAGGGUUCUAGCAGCGGAAACCGAGCCUCAGGAGGUGGAAGCACUUGACUGUCGUCAGUCGGGUUAUCGGCUGUAGAAUUAGGAUCCGCACCCAGUCUCUAGUGACCCAGGUCGGGGUCCUUGGCACCAGGCCUCGCUCUGUGCUCUGCUGACGUUACAAUCCCAAGCUCGUGUCACCUCACUUUUUACUUCUUUCUAACUUUGCCACAGAUACAGUCUUUUUCUCCCUCUGCAUGAACUCUGGAAACAGUACAUCCGGGACCUGUGCGGGGGACUCAGGCCAGACACUCACAAAAUCCAAAUGCCGCUCCUAUGUGGGUGUUACAGGAAUCCUUCUACAGGAAACAAAGCAUGUCUUCAGAAUCCUCACCAAAGAAGACCGCCUGAAAGCUAAACAGUGUGUUCACAGUGGAAAUCGAUGGCUUCAUUUCCUACAUUUAUGGAAGCAAAUUCCAGGUUUGGUCAAGUGAGUGAUCUGUCAAGAAGUUCAAAGCCAAGGGAACAGUUGACCUGUGAGCUGUUUGCCAUGGACGCAACUGUUUUGACCCCAAGCACCAGGAACACCUGAGUGCCCACGUGUCAGCGAACAGAUGGCCGGGUCGGCUCUGGUUCUAGAGCGCCCCCCCCCCAGCCCAU